rnacentral:sRNA from 1 species
CGCACCGACCCGCUCAAUCGUGGAAACACGAACCGGGGACCCACUGCACCACUGGGGUGAAUCCGCGAGCCACGGCCGCGGUAGGGCGAUCUUCCCGCCCGAAUCCGUCAGCUAACCCGGUCGGCGGCUGCGGAAGGAGUU